GCCCGCCUAGCUCAAUUGGUCAGAGCGUCAGACUUUUACGGAGUCUGCGCCCUUCUGGGUAUACAGGCAUAAGGCUAAAUCUGAAGGCUGCGAGUUCGACCCUCGCGGUGGGCU